AGCAAGGUGGCGCAGUGGAAGCGUAUCGGGCUCAUAACCCGAGUGUCGUAAGAUCGAAACUUACCCUUGCUA
rnacentral:tRNA from 1 species